rnacentral:rRNA from 1 species
UGUAAUGCUAACCAUGCAGUCGACGGCUGCCGGACUUCUGUCUGGUGGCGAGUGGCGACGGGUGAGUAAUGUAUCGGAACGUGCCUAGUACCGGGGGAGACUACGCGAAAGCGUACCUGAUACCGCAUACGCCCUACGGUGGAAAGCAGGGGAUCGCAAGACCUUGCACUAUUAGAGCGGCCGAUAUCGGAUUACCUAGUUGGUGGGGUAACGGCUCACCAAGGCGACGAUCCGUAGCUGGUUUGAGAGGACGACCAGCCACACUGGGACUGACACACGGCCCAGACUCCUACGGGAGGCAGCAGUGGGGAAUUUUGGACAAUGGGGGAAACCCUGAUCCAGCCAUCCCGCGUGUGCGAUGAAGGCCUUCGGGUUGUAAAGCACUUUUGGCAGGAAAGAAACGUUCCGGGUUAAUACCCCGGGAAACUGACGGUACCUGCCUAAUAAGCACCGGCUAACUACGUGCCAGCAGCCGCGGUAAUACGUACGGUGCAAGCGUUAAUCGGAAUUACUGGGCGUAAAGCGUGCGCAGGCGGUUCGGACA